rnacentral:rRNA from 1 species
GAUGAACGCUGGCGGCAUGCUUUACACAUGCAAGUCGGACGGGCAGUGGUGUUUCUAGUGGCUGUCGGGUUAGUAACGCGUAAGAACCUGCCCUUGGGAGGGGAACAAUAUCUGGAAACGGUUGCUAAUACCCCGCAGGCCUAGUAGCGAAAGGUGUAAUCCGCCCCAGGAGGGGCUCGGGUCUGAUUAUCUAGCUGUUGGAGUAGUAGCUUACCAAGGCCGUUAUCAGUAGAUGUUCGGAGAGGAUUAUCGGCCACACUGGGACUGAGACAAGGACCAGACUACUACGGGAAGCAGGAGUAGGGAAUUUGCAGCAAUGGGGGGUAGGCUGAGGGGGCAAUGCGGCGUGGAGGUAAAGGGACUACGGGUGAAGAACUUCGUAACCUGGAGAAGAAACAAUGACGGUACCUGGGGAGUAAGCAUCGGCUAACUAUGUG